rnacentral:ncRNA from 1 species
UUAAAGACAAUGAUGAGAAGAGUAGAUAUAGUUGGAGUUAUAGAGAGUUGGGGAUGGUGGAAGCCCAAUACAAAUUCUAUAUUGAAGAACAUCUCUGAGUUUCUAACCGAAAUGUAUUGAAAGUAGGCUUAGACGGAACCAAACCGUUAUACAUUGGACAGUAUCGAGAACAUAUCUCCGUACUGGUUUGAGCUGGUCAUAUUUUUAUAUGACAAUCAGGGUGGUAUCGCGGAAGCUAUAGCCUUUCGUCCCUUUG